AUUUAUCCAGCCAUUACCAAUUCUAAUUUCCUAAAUCGACAGCAAACCCUAUAGGCUACUAUGCUUCGUCCUCGCUGGCUGCUCUGUGCUCUCUCCACUACGCUGUGACCUGCUGUCGGCUGCCGCCGAGUCGAUGUGCUUCUCCCCCUGUUCGAGAGUCGCUAAUCAUGGGGGAUAUGGAUGCUUUUCUCCACUGUAUUGAUGAUAGUUGUGUGCAGUGCAACAAUACUGUGGCUAGAGCUUGCUAUUCUUUGUUGUCUAAGGUGCACAGCUUAAAUAGAAGGAAAAAUAUAUUGCAGCUUCUAUGAAUAUCUACUCCGGAUCCAAGGAAACAAAACAACCAUGGUAAGGCAUUAUAGGUGAGCAGCUAUUUUUGUUACUAUCCUCAUAAAUAAAAAAAACCACAUGCCAUAGAUUCAUACAUGACCGAGGAAGGUCUAGUAUUUCUUUAAUCUUUAUGCUAUUAUUGUUAUAUUUUUAUCCAUUUUAGUAUAGCUUGGUGUUUGUUGGUUAUUUGACUUCUAUUUUUCUAUAGUUGUAAUUCAAAUGUUCUCAUAUUAUUCCUUUCUUGUAAUUUUCUAAUUAACGACUGUAUCUAACAGAGAAAUGUAGAAGACUUCAAUGAAAGGUCUUCAAAGCUUGGUUUGGAGAACUAUCCCCUCUAAUUUUGCAUAUCUUUGUGCGAAGAUUGGGAAUUCUUUAAUAGAUAAGGUGAUAUAUAGUGCUAAUGGGUAAAAUUACUGCUGAAAACAAAAUUCAUAGAAGAAUGAUUUUUUUAUCAUUUGUUAUAUGUGUAGAUGGAUGAAAUUGCUUGUUUUGUUCCAGGUAUGUUAGCAUUAGGAUCUACUGGCUAUGGUCCUGAUGAGGCUAGGAAGUUCUUAUUGUUGCCAAAAGAGAUAUUAUACAAAUAUUUUAAGAUUCAUAUUUAAAGUGCCUUACAGAGUGGGUAAUUAUUUACUUUGAGGGAAUGACUUUGACCUCCUCAUGAAGCUUGCUUGGACAUGUUAUAAUUUAUACCAAUCAAUGCUUGUGAAAUUGGAUGGAGAGA
rnacentral:lncRNA from 1 species